rnacentral:rRNA from 1 species
CAGCCGCCGCGGUAAUACGUAGGGUGCAAGCGUUAAUCGGAAUUACUGGGCGUAAAGCGUGCGCAGGCGGUUAUAUAAGUCAGAUGUGAAAUCCCCGGGCUCAACCUGGGAACUGCAUUUGAGACUGUAUGGCUAGAGUGUGUCAGAGGGGGGUAGAAUUCCACGUGUAGCAGUGAAAUGCGUAGAGAUGUGGAGGAAUACCGAUGGCGAAGGCAGCCCCCUGGGCCAAUACUGACGCUCAUGCACGAAAGCGUGGGGAGCAAACAGGAUUAGAUACCCGCGUAGUCCCUGUCUCUUAUAC